ACAAGGUCUCCGUUGGUGAACCAGCGGAGGGAUCAUUACAGAGUUAUCUAACUCCCAAACCCAAUGUGAACCUACCUAUGUUGCCUCGGCGGGAGAAGCCUACCCGGUACCUACCCUGUAGCUACCCGGGAACUACCCUGUAGUUGAUGGCGGACCCGCCGGUGGACAUUUUAAAAACUCUUGUUCUACUGUGAUACUCUGAGUAAUAAACUAAAUAAGUUAAAACUUUCAACAACGGAUCUCUUGGUUCUGGCAUCGAUGAAGAACGCAGCGAAAUGCGAUAAGUAAUGUGAAUUGCAGAAUUCAGUGAAUCAUCGAAUCUUUGAACGCACAUUGCGCCCAUUAGUAUUCUAGUGGGCAUGCCUGUUCGAGCGUCAUUUCAACCCUUAAGCCUUAGUUGCUUAGCGUUGGGAGGUUGCCUCUCGCAACUCCCUAAAAUCAGUGGCAAGGACCACGACACCUUGAAGUGUAGUAGUUUAAUUCUCACUUUGGAGGACCGUAGCCCAGCCAUAAACCAACUAUUUUUAAUUAUUGGUUGACCUCGGAUCAGGUAGGAAUACCCGCUGAACUUAAGCAUAUCAAUAAGCGGAGGAAAAGAAACCAACAGGGAUUGCCCUAGUAACGGCGAGUGAAGCGGCAACAGCUCAAAUUUGAAAUCUGGCCUUGGGGUCCGAGUUGUAAUUUGUAGAGGAUGCUUUUGGUGCGGUACCUUCCGAGUUCCCUGGAACGGGACGCCAUAGAGGGUGAGAGCCCCGUACGGUUGGAUACCUAGCCUCUGUAAAGCUCCUUCGACGAGUCGAGU
rnacentral:rRNA from 1 species